AUUGAACGCUGGCGGCAUGCCUUACACAUGCAAGUCGAACGGCAGCGGACCUUCGGGUGCCGGCGAGUGGCGAACGGGUGAGUAAUAUAUCGGAACGUACCUUUCAGUGGGGGAUAACGUAGCGAAAGUUACGCUAAUACCGCAUAUUCUGUGAGCAGGAAAGCAGGGGAUCGCAAGACCUUGCGCUGAUUGAGCGGCCGAUAUCAGAUUAGCUAGUUGGUGAGGUAAAGGCUCACCAAGGCGACGAUCUGUAGCGGGUCUGAGAGGAUGAUCCGCCACACUGGAACUGAGACACGGUCCAGACUCCUACGGGAGGCAGCAGUGGGGAAUUUUGGACAAUGGGCGCAAGCCUGAUCCAGCCAUGCCGCGUGAGUGAAGAAGGCCUCGGUUGUAAGAGUCUUCGUCGGACGGAAGUACG
rnacentral:rRNA from 1 species